AAAAACCCAACAACUUACUAGGAAUCAAGCACUGAUAAACAUCUUAUUGUAAUUAGGAAUAAAUAAUAAAUCCUUUCUCAAGAGAGACACCUGCUGGCUUCUGACCCACCACUGUUCCUUGCACUGCCUGUCUCGUGUUGCAGUGCAUACACAAAAUCACAGAAAAAUUCAAGUUGGAAGAGACCUUUGAAGACCCAGUCCGCCUCUGACUGACUCCCUGCUAAGACAAUGGAAAACUUAGUCAUCUUCCUCAGAUCCCUCUUCAGCUCAGUUUGGAGCGUCUCUGAGGAAGGAUG
rnacentral:lncRNA from 1 species